rnacentral:rRNA from 1 species
GAUGAACGCUGGCGGCGUGCCUAAUACAUGCAAGUCGAGCGAACGGACGAGAAGCUUGCUUCUCUGAUGUUAGCGGCGGACGGGUGAGUAACACGUGGAUAACCUACCUAUAAGACUGGGAUAACUUCGGGAAACCGGAGCUAAUACCGGAUAGUAUUUUGAACCGCAUGGUUCAAAAGUGAAAGACGGUCUUGCUGUCACUUAUAGAUGGAUCCGCGCUGCAUUAGCUAGUUGGUAAGGUAACGGCUUACCAAGGCAACGAUGCAUAGCCGACCUGAGAGGGUGUGGGCCCACACGGGAACUGAGACCGGGUCGAGCCUCCUCGGGGAGGCAGCAGAAGGGAAUCUCCCGAAAGGGGCGAAAGCCGGAGGGAGCACCGCCGGGUGGGGGAUGAAGGUCUUGGGAUCGAAAAACUCUGUUAUUGGGAAAAAAAAUAUGUGUAAGAAACUGUGCACAUUUUGAGGGACCCUAAUAAGAAAGCCACGGCUAACUCCGGG